UACGAAGGGGGGCUAGCGUUGUUCGGAAUUACUGGGCGUAAAGCGCACGUAGGCGGAUUGUUAAGUGAGGGGUGAAAUCCCAGGGCUCAACCCUGGAACUGCCUUUCAUACUGGCAAUCUAGAGUCCAGAAGAGGUGAGUGGAAUUCCGAGUGUAGAGGUGAAAUUCGUAGAUAUUCGGAGGAACACCAGUGGGCGAAGG
rnacentral:rRNA from 1 species